GUGCUCGCUGCGGCAGCACAUAUACUAAAAAUAAUUGGAAUGAUACAGAGAAGAUUAGUAUGUUCCCAGCGUAAGGAUGACACGCAAAUUCGUAAAGCAUUCCAUAUUUUU